UCUACUUACAGCACAUCUGAGACCAGUGAUGCAUCCAAGAUCGUCCUUAGAGCCUACAACCUUCUACUAGGUUGGGUAGCAUAAAGAAGGAGCAGGCUCUGCCCUGCAGUGCCUGGUGUUCCUGGGAAAAGACAGUGUUGGAGCUGACAUCCAAACAAUGGCUGUGUGAAAAGUGAACUGUUCGUGGGGUUUCACCAUCCAUACGCCCACAGUGGAGGCGAGAGGAAGAGGGGGACUUAGGCUUCCUGAAGCUCCAACAUGAACCUGUUGAUGAGGUCAAUCACAUGAAAGUUAGGUAGCCCAUGCAUGGCUCAGGAGUCUGGAGACUAUGUGAAUACAAGAAAAGAGAAAGGUGGCAUUCUCUAAGCUGGUAUCUGAGACAGUCCCUGUAUAAAAAUAACUGACAUGGGUGACUUCAAUCUGGAAGCGGGGAUGGAAGGAAAGAAAGGAAGGAAGUUGGAAAGAAUAGAAAAAUGGUAGCGAUGAAUGAGAGAAAGAAACUCCUGAGAUAUCCCUGUGAUGGAGACAUCUGUAGAGCCGUAACCUCAACAUCUGUGAUAUCCCUGUGAUGAAGACAUCUGCAGAUUCUUAACCUCAACAUCUGUGACAUCCCUUUGAUUGAGAUGUCUGUAGAGCCUUAACCUCAGUGUCUGAGACAUCACUGUGAUGGAGAUGUCUGUAGAGCCUUAAUGUGCAUUACCUUCAAUGUCUGAGACACCCCUGUCAUAGAGAUAUCUAUAAAGCCCCAACAAGCUUUACCUUCAAUGUUCAAGACAUCCUUGUGAUGGAGACAUCUAUAGGGCCUUAAUGUGUGUUACCUUCAAUGUGUGAGACAUCUCUGCGAUGGGGUUGUCUGUAGAGCCUUAACUUCAUUGUUUGAGACAUCCCUGUGAUGGAGACAUCUAUAGAGUCUUAAUGCGCAUUACCUUUGAUGUCUACAGGCAAUCUGUUGUUAUUUGUUUGUGCAGUUAUCUCCCUACAAAUCUCUCUGCUCAAGAGUGGCUUAUUAUUCAUAUUAGCUGUAGGCAGGCACCACGGUGGCCCUCAAUGAGGUCAACAUAUAAGAGGGGAGAGCAGGGAGAUAGUUGCCAUGGACUUAGUAUGAUGCUUAGGAGAGCCAGCAGGUUGAAAACACAUCUGUGACACUGACUUUUCUGACACUCCUAUCCUCUGUUAGACAUUUCUUCUGCGUUUAGGAAGCUGCGUGAAAUGAAAUGUGCUCAGAGACAGGCAGUAGCCCAUAAGCCAUGCUGGAUAAGCCAGUGUAUCAAGCAAACAGUGGAUCUUAGCAGACACAACUUUAAUAAUGGAAUGUCCAAAGCCAUUAAGCUCCAUGGCUGAAACUAAAUCUGUUUUGCUUUUAAAUGGUAUUUCGAAACAUGAGGUCAAACAAGACCAGAAUCUAGGACAAGGCAGCUUGGGUGUGACCUUUCAAAGACUAGCUCUGAGCAACCUAUGUGACUUUGGAUGCAAUGUCUUCAUGUCUGCCUUAUGAUAUAUGGGAUGAGCCUUAAAAUGUACCCCAGCCAAAGGAUUAGUAAAUACAUUAAAUGUAUAAAGAAUGUCUCUGAAA